rnacentral:rRNA from 1 species
GAGAGCGGCGGACGGGUGAGUAAUGCCUAGGAAUCUGCCUGGUAGUGGGGGAUAACGUUCGGAAACGGACGCUAAUACCGCAUACGUCCUACGGGAGAAAGCAGGGGACCUUCGGGCCUUGCGCUAUCAGAUGAGCCUAGGUCGGAUUAGCUAGUUGGUGAGGUAAUGGCUCACCAAGGCGACGAUCCGUAACUGGUCUGAGAGGAUGAUCAGUCACACUGGAACUGAGACACGGUCCAGACUCCUACGGGAGGCAGCAGUGGGGAAUAUUGGACAAUGGGCGAAAGCCUGAUCCAGCCAUGCCGCGUGUGUGAAGAAGGUCUUCGGAUUGUAAAGCACUUUAAGUUGGGAGGAAGGGCAGUUGCCUAAUACGUAACUGUUUUGACGUUACCGACAGAAUAAGCACCGGCUAACUCUGUGCCAGCAGCCGCGGUAAUACAGAGGGUGCAAGCGUUAAUCGGAAUUACUGGGCGUAAAGCGCGCGUAGGUGGUUUGUUAAGUUGGAUGUGAAAUCCCCGGGCUCAACCUGGGAACUGCAUUCAAAACUGACUGACUAGAGUAUGGUAGAGGGUGGUG